rnacentral:lncRNA from 1 species
UAAAAAGAAGCAACGUCAAGGCUUGUCUAGGCUACAGAGUUCAGGGAUAUUGAGGUCCUAUCUUUGAAGAAAAAAAGAAAGAAGGCUGUGAGUAUAUAUCACAGUGGUAGAGUACAGGCCCCAGCACGCUCAGACCCUCAGCUCAGUCCUUGGUGUCUCUGAUUGCUCUCAGCCAGUCACUUUUGAAGCUGAGGGUGUGAAUGGCACCUGGCAUCAGGGAAGGUGUGAUUGGUGCCUCUUCUCACCCCCUCUGGGCUUCCCACCCACAGGCAGUUUCCUGGGAAGACCGUUCAAGCCUUAAAGAGCACCUCAUCGUCAAGGCCCGUGUUUCCUUUGACCCAUUUUUUGACCCACCUUUGAACUUAAGCUCCUUAGCAGUUCCCAGGCCAGGUGCAUUGUGGAUGUUUCGAGCAGUCUCAUUUUUUCCUUUUUACUCAUUUCGAACGUGUGUAAGAAAACCCCUUGAAUUUGCUUUUUGUUUAGCAUCAUUUCAAAGGGGUAAAAUAAAUAGAAAACAAGUGCCAAGGAAUAAGUAAUCAGAGGAAGAAAUGCCCAUUAGAGUGAUGUAUGAUAGACACAUUCACUAAGAACAUAUUCCAAUAUCAAACACCAAAUUCCAGCUCUGCAGAAAUCUACUUGUGAGGGAAGAAUUCUGGUGAUUAAAGUUUUAAGGAAUAGAAAACAAAGAAAGGAGAAAAAAAAUUGAA